CUCGUCCCGCCAUUAUCUUCCCUCCUCGGCACAAUCGAAGAAGGCAUGUUUCGUCCAUCGAUCCGGACUUUUGGAUGAACAGGCCGAGGAAUUCAUCCGAAUUCGAAAUGCGGAAACCAGGAUCGGGAAACACAAGAUCCGAACCCACCCCACCCACAGCGUGUAGCCCGUGGCGUGCGUGCGUUACCCACACCAAGGGCAACGAAGGAGAGCCGAUCCCUGUGAGGGUGCGGUCAGGUCACCGUCCCCUGGGCCGAUCGGGGCCGUCCACGCGGGCCUUAUCCCCGAUCCGACGGCCGCCGGCCACGCCCGGUAGGUUUACGCCGUUCUUAAGGCGUCCAUCGCCCUCGUCUCGCUUGGCUUCGCUCCUCUUCCAUCGUCUCACACCGCUGCCUCGCCUCUCGCGUUCCCCCACCCUCCAAGCGAUUGCCUUUGCGCUCGCGCUCGCGCUCUUCGCAGUCUCUCCUGCCGCGUGCCCCUCUUCCAUCCCCGUGGAGUGCGCGUGCUCGCGUGGGCGGGCAGAUCCGGCGUUCAAGGCGGCCCGGGGGCAGGAUCGGCGUCUUCCGGCGGCGUCCGGCGUGCGGGAGGUUUGACGAGGCAGGAACCGGUGGUGGUGGUGGUGGUGGUGGUGAAGGAGAAGACGCUCGGUGCAUGGUGGCCUGAUGAAGCGCUCCAGGGAGGACGCGCUCGCCGCCGCCGGGUCGCAGCCCAGCAAGCGCAUCAGCACCAGCAGCGCCGCCGCCGCCGUCGCUCGAUCCGAUCCGUCGCCGCCGCAGCCCAUGCCUCCGGCGGGGUCGGGGUCGGCGCUGGUGCCGGCGCCGCCGCCCCAGGCCGUGGCCGCCCUGCCGGCGCAGCCGUCCGGCGGGUCUGGGGCCGCCACUGCUGCUGCCGCCGCCGCCGCCGGCCAGAAGCUGACGACCAACGACGCCCUCGUCUACCUCAAGGCCGUCAAGGACAAGUUCCAGGACAACCGCGCCAAGUACGAGGAGUUCCUCGAGGUCAUGCGCGACUUCAAGAGCGAGAGGAUCGAUACCAACGGGGUGAUUAUCCGCGUGAAGACCCUCUUCAACGGGUACCCCGAGCUGAUCCUCGGGUUCAACACCUUCUUGCCCAAGGGCUUCGCAAUCAGGCUGCAGCAGGAUGAGAAGAAGCCUGUGGAUUUCGCGGAGGCCAUCAACUUCGUGAACAAGAUAAAGAGUCGGUUCCAGCGUGACGAGCAUGUGUACAAGUCCUUCCUGGACAUUCUCAACAUGUACCGCAAGGAUAACAAGUCCAUCCAAGAUGUUUACCAUGAGGUUGCUGUGCUGUUCAGCGACCACAAAGACUUGCUCGAAGAAUUCCAGCACUUCUUGCCUGACACCUCAGCGUCUCCGCAAGCAGGGACCGCUCCAAGAGGCGGCUUAGUUAAGCGGGAAGCUCUAAUGCCCCCUGCUAGUAGGGGUCACAUUGAAAAGCCUAGGGCUUUUCCAUCUCAUACCGACCGUGACGCCAGUGUCGAUCGUCCUGAUGUGGACCAUGAUCGCCAAAGACAACGGGAGAAGAACAAGGAACGCAAGGCAGAAAGAGAGAGAAGGGAUUAUGAUAGAGAUGAUAAGGAUGGUGAACAAGACAGCAAAGAGCUGGAUGUUGGCCAGCGUAAGCGCAAACCUUUUCCAAGCGCAAACCUUGUAGGUGCUGAGGCACACCAAGGAGGCCACCCUGAGAUUCAUGGAAUUAAUAGUGCCUCUGCCUCAUCGUAUGAUAAUAAGGAUGCGUUAAAGAGUGGAUACACACAGGAGUUCCAUUUCUGCGAAAAAGUCAAGGAUAAGCUGGAAUAUGAUGCUUACCAGGAGUUCUUGAAAUGUCUUCACAUAUACAGCCAGGAAAUUAUUACGAGGAGUGAACUGAAGAACUUGGUGAGCGAUAUACUACAACACUACCCCGAUCUUAUGGAUGGAUUUAAUGAAUUCUUGGAACAUUGUGAAAAUAUAGAUGGAUUUCUGGCUGGAGUCUUCAGUAAAAAGCAACCUGGAAGGCUAAUCAAGACAGAGGAUAAAGAAAGAGAUAAGGAGCAUGAGAGGGAGGAUAGGAACAGAGAUCGGGACAAGGAAAGAGAAAAGGAACGGGAAAGACUACAUCCAAAGGAAGGUUCUAGCCAGAAACCCUCGGUUGUCAAAGAGAAGUAUCUAUGCAAACCAAUAUCAGAGCUUGAUCUCUCAAAUUGUCAGCGAUGCACUCCAAGUUACCGGCUUCUACCUAAAAAUUACCCAAUGCCUCCGGCAGGCAACAAGACUGAUCUUGGUGCCUCGGUUCUUAAUGAUCACUGGGUGUCAGUGACAUCAGGGAGUGAAGACUAUUCCUUUAAGCACAUGCGCAAGAAUCAGUAUGAAGAAAGUUUAUUUAGAUGCGAAGAUGACAGGUUCGAAUUGGAUAUGCUGUUGGAAUCAGUUAAUGCAGCAACUAAGCGUGUCGAGGAGUUGAUAGAAAAAAUGCAAGAUAACUCAGUAAAACCAGAAAGCCCAAUACGCAUCGAUGAGCACUUGACUCCUUUGAAUCUAAGGUGCAUUGAACGGUUAUAUGGUGACCAUGGUCUGGAUGUGAUGGACGUUCUUCGAAGAAAUGCUAGUGUUGCACUGCCUGUUAUCUUAUCCAGGCUAAAACAAAAGCAGGAGGAAUGGUCAAGGUGUCGAUCAGAUUUCAACAAGGUUUGGGCUGAUAUUUACGCCAAGAAUUAUCACAAGUCACUUGAUCAUCGCAGUUUCUAUUUCAAGCAGCAAGACUCGAAGAAUCUCAGCACAAAAUCUCUACUGACUGAGAUUAAAGAAAUUAAUGAGAAGAAAAGAAAGGAAGACGAUGUUCUCAUUGCUAUCGCUGCUGGAAAUAGGCGGCCUAUAGUUCCCAAUAUGUCAUUUGAGUAUGUAGAUGCAAAUAUCCAUGAUGAUCUUUAUAAGAUCGUGAAGUACUCGUGUGGAGAAGUCUGUGGCUCAGACCAACUGGACAAAGUGAUGAAGAUUUGGACAACUUUUCUGGAGCCUAUUUUGGGCAUUCCGCCUCGAUCCCACGGUACUGUGGAUGCAGAUCUAACUAAACCCAAGAAUGGGAUCACAAAAUCUGGUACUGCAAUUAUGGGGGAAAGCAAUACUUCUCCUGAUGGAGUUGCUGCCCAGCAAGGCCAUGGUGAUGAAAGCAUGCAACAGGAACAAGCACCAUCAGCUGUGGCUAGAUUGUCUAGGUUAGCGAAAGGAGUUGCAGCAGACUCCCAAAAUGGUUCGCAUGAUGCAGAUCGAACUGCUCGUAGAGAUGAGGAAGCAUCAAAUGCUGCACUAAAUGAAGUAUCUGCAGUAAGCACCCAGAACAUGCCUACUGGAAGACCAGCAGGACAACAUAGCCAUAUGAAGGGAAACUCUGAAACUACGCCAGGAGUGAAUGCAUCUAAAAGUUCACAUGCUGGAGUUAGUAUGGCUGCCGGUGCCAGGGCUGGCCAUGAAGUAUUACCAUCUACUGAGGGUGGAGAGACUGGCAAGUCAGGAUCAUCUUUAAAUUGUGGGGCUACCAGCGAGGGUAACAAGGGGCGCCUAUUUAAUGAAGCUGCUGCGCCCCACAAUACUUCGAAAGUUGAAAGAGAGGAAGGUGAAUUAUCGCCUAAUGGAGAUUUUGAAGAGGACAAUUUUGUGCCUUUCGAAGAUGGUGCAUCUAAAACAAAGGAAGGCUCUACAAGCAGAACGUUCAAGGUUAGACCUGGUCAGGUGGAACCUCAUGCUGAGGCAGCCGGCGAGAAUGAUGCUGAUGAUGAGGAAAGCACUCAAAGGUCUACCGAGGACAGUGAAAAUGCUUCUGAGGCUGGUGAAGAUGCAUCAGGAAGUGAAUCUGGUGACGGUGAGCACGGUUCUCCUGAAGAUCAUGACGAGGAAGAAGAUAUGGAUCAUGAUCAGGAUCCGAAGGCAGAAAGUGAGGGUGAGGCAGAGGGGACAACUGAGACCCACGACGUUGAAGGGGGAAUGUCAUUACUUGGAAUAUCAUUACCUUCAUCAGAACGCUUUCUGUACUCGGCUAAACCACUGGCCAAGCAUGUACCCACAUCUUUACAUGGCCGGGAAGAUAGAUCGUCGCAUAUAUUUUAUGGGAAUGAUUCGUUUUACAUCUUGUUCAGGCUGCACCAGAUGCUGUAUGAAAGACUGCUUUCAGCAAAGACAAACUCUUCAAGUGCUGAAAAGAAAUGGAGAACCUCCAAGGAUACAAACCCCCCUGACCUAUAUGCAAGGUUCAUAAAGGCACUCUACAACUUGCUUGAUGGUACUUCUGAUAAUACCAAGUUUGAGGAUGACUGCCGUGCUAUUAUCGGGACCCAGUCAUACGUUCUCUUUACUUUGGAUAAACUGAUAUACAAAGUUGUGAAGCAGCUUCAAGCUAUAGCGACGGAUGAAAUGGACAGCAAGCUUCUCCAGCUUUAUAUGUAUGAGAAGUCAAGAUCCCCUGGGAGGUUCUUUGAUCUCGUCUAUCAUGAAAACGCCCGUGUCCUACUCCAUGAUGAGAGCAUGUAUCGAUUCGAAUGUCGCUCAAGUCCAAUGAGGUUGUCUAUUCAGCUGAUGGAGUAUGGUCAUGAAAAGCCUGAGGUGACUGCGGUAUCCAUUGAGCCAAAUUUUGCCUCGUAUCUUUUCAGCGAGUAUCUGUCAAAUUCGUCAGGCACGAUGUUGCCUGAAGGUGUCUUCCUUGGAAGGCCAUGGAUGGUAUCAAAGUUGCUAAUGGUCUUGAAUGCAAGAUAUCCUGCAAGACCUCUAAGGUCUCCUAUGUCCUUGACACCGAAGAUUUCUUGUUUCGGUUGAGAAAGAGGAGGAGGCUUUCACCUGGUGGAAAUGUGGCCGACAAGUCGCCGACCUCCAAAAAAUAUGAUGCAAAAGUGCAGCGCUUUCAUUUAUUUCUAUCCAAGCCUUAAGAGGGCCGUAGGCAAAAAACAUUGACAUUGUAUCCAAAUCAGGAGAUGCUGCUGGGGUCGUGACCGCCUUGCUCUUUGCUUCGACAGUGACAAGAAGAAUAACAAUAAUCAGCUGGGCGCUGGAUAGAUGAUAUACCCGGUAAAUACAGCAAAGCAAAGCAUGUUAGGGCCACCUCGGUCAGCCUUAGGCCGCGCCGAAAAAGAUGUGUGUGUGUUUGUAAAUAUGUACUGGCAGAAGAAGGAUGUUGUUUGUUCUGUUAACCUGUUAUUACCUGUAGUGUCUUUUUUGGUCGUCGUAGAAGGAGGAGAAGGAUUCUGUUGAAGUGAUGAUGAUCACCAUUUGUUGAUGCUGGUAUAGGUCUCUUUGUUAUGUCGGGUUGACCGUCGGUUUUUCGGUUCAAGAUAUGUAGCCUUGGUCAGUUAAAUGCAACAAUUGCAACAGUCAUUGUUUUUAAUGCGUCGUUUGUGACAUGAUUAUGUUUGGUGUGCUCUAGUUGUUUUUGAAAUAAUCAUGAUUGUAGUUUAAGGGAAACUAAGAUCCAGCC
rnacentral:rRNA from 1 species